rnacentral:tRNA from 1 species
GGUGGCUCAGUGGUAGAGUGCUUGUCUUGCGUGCAUGAGAACCUGGGUUCGAUUCCUCAGCACCA